ACCUUGAUCAAUCUCAAGAAACUUGGAAGAAGAAGGAAGACCGUUUCCCAUCCACCGAAUCCAAAUUCUUUUCUGUUCCACAUAAAAUACCUGCUCCCCAAAAAGAGGAUCAAGAAGGAUGUGGAAGUGGAAACUUCAAGUUCUGAUGCAUGUCAGCCUCCUGCAGAUGGACUCCAUGUAGAUGAACAGAUCCAGAUACUAUUGAAGAAGAAGGAACAUACAGAGCUGCUAGUUGUUGUAAUUGUUCAGUCUCCUAGCCAGGAUCUCGAGUUCCUUUUACAUCACAAGGAAUUCAAUGCACUGAGGCCACAUGAAUGGUUAUUUGGAGAGACUAUUGAGUGCUAUUUCAGAACUGUACUUAAUAAGGAGGAUGCAAAUCUCUACCAGCUAAGCCAUGACACCACAGGUGUCAUUUUAAAUGGCACAAGAGAGCAGAUGGAACAGCAAGGAUUUUGAAAAGUCAACUUAGAGCAAUAUGAUGGGGUCAUCACUUUUGUCAAUAUCACCAAAAAUCACUGGAGGUUUGUGGUAAGUAAAAGAGUGCUAAUUUCAAUGAUAAGCUACUACAUAUGCCCAUUUAGACAUGUUUGAUCUUUCAGUGACAUUUAUUUGCUAAUUUAUUUGUUUCUUUUUAUCCAAUUUAGUUUGUAUAUGCUCAGACUGACACCCUUUUCAUGCUUGACUCUCUGAGUGGUACAAAUGAAAUGAAAUGAAAAGGCAUGCCAAAAAUUCGGGUAUGAUAGUCUGUUUUAAAAAAGAUAUUUAGCAUGUGUAGAUCCAAAACAGUAAUAAUGGAAACUAAGCAAAGUUCAUGUUGUGUAAGACUACCAUAAUCACACACUGC